rnacentral:rRNA from 1 species
UGGGGAAUUUUGGACAAUGGGCGCAAGCCUGAUCCAGCAAUGCCGCGUGCAGGAUGAAGGCCUUCGGGUUGUAAACUGCUUUUGUACGGAACGAAAAGCCCUGGGUUAAUACCCUGGGGUCAUGACGGUACCGUAAGAAUAAGCACCGGCUAACUACGUGCCAGCAGCCGCGGUAAUACGUAGGGUGCGAGCGUUAAUCGGAAUUACUGGGCGUAAAGCGUGCGCAGGCGGUUUUGUAAGACAGAGGUGAAAUCCCCGGGCUCAACCUGGGAACUGCCUUUGUGACUGCAAGGCUAGAGUACGGCAGAGGGGAUGGAAUUCCGCGUGUAGCAGUGAAAUGCGUAGAUAUGCGGAGGAACACCGAUGGCGAAGGCAAUCCCCUGGGCCUGUACUGACGCUCAUGCACGAAAGCGUGGGGAGCAAACAGGAUUAGAUACCCUGGUAGUCCACGCCCUAAACGAUGUCAACUGGUUGUUGGGUCUUAACUGACUCAGUAACGAAGCUAACGCGUGAAGUUGACCGCCUGGGGAGUACGGCCGCAAGGUUGAAACUCAAAUGAAUUGACGGGGUC